rnacentral:rRNA from 1 species
AGUGAACUAGCUAACUGAAACUUAAUUUUAAAAUUAAGAUAAGGUAAGAGAAAAUAAUGAUAUUAUCUUACUAUUAGUGUCGUCUAAAUUUGGUGCCAGAAGACUCGGUAAGACCUUAGACGCAAACGUUAAUCGUCAUAAUCAGGCGUAAAGGGUGUGUAGGCGGCUUUAAAGAAUAUAAUUAUAUUCUAAUUAAAGCUAGAAUCUAAAAGAGGGUAAGCUAAACAACAUAAUUAAUUAGGACUGGCAACUUAUAAUAAUGUGGAGUACUAAAGGUAAAGCUAUUUAUCUACUUAAGAUUGACGCUCAAGAAACGAAGGGGAGAAUAAGAAACUUAGAUUAGAGACCUAAUUAUCUCUCUCAGUCAACGAUGAAUGGAGUUAUUAAAAUUAAAUAUAUAUCAAAUAAUAUAAUUAUUAGUAACGAGGUUAACACGAUGACCAUUCCGCCUUGUUAGUAAGACUGCAAAGUUGAAAACAAAAAAUUAUCCGGUCUUGANGCAAACGAANUGAAGCAUGUUAUUUAAUCGAUAAU